rnacentral:rRNA from 1 species
GCAGUCGAGGGGCAGCAUAUCCGCUUGCGGAUGAUGGCGACCGGCGCACGGGUGCGUAACGCGUAUGCAACCUACCCAUAACAGAGGGAUAGCCUUUGGAAACAAGGAUUAAUACCUCAUAAAGCAGGGGUCCUACCUGGGACUAUUUGCUAAAGGAUUCGUUCUGGUUAUGGAUGGGCAUGCGUCUGAUUAGUUAGUUGGGGAGGUAACGGCUCACCAAGGCGAUGAUCAGUAGCGGGUCUGAGAGGAUGAUCCGCCACACUGGAACUGAGACACGGUCCAGACUCCUACGGGAGGCAGCAGUAGGGAAUAUUGGUCAAUGGGGGAAACCCUGAACCAGCCAUGCCGCGUGCAGGAAGACGGCCUUCUGGGUUGUAAACUGCUUUUAUCAGGGGGGAAUGUACAAGAUGCGUCUUGUGCUUGACAGUACCUGAUGAAUAAGCACCGGCUAACUCCGUGCCAGCAGCCGCGGUAAUACGGAGGGUGCGAGCGUUGUCCGGAUUUAUUGGGUUUAAAGGGUGCGUAGGCGGAAUAGUAAGUCAGUGGUGAAAGUCCAUCGCUCAACGAUGGGAUUGCCAUUGAAACUGUUAUUCUAGAGUGGAGUCGAGGCAGGCGGAAUUUAUGGUGUAGCGGUGAAAUGCAUAGAUACCAUAAGGAACACCGAUAGCGUAGGCAGCUUGCUAGACUUCAACUGACGCUGAGGCACGAAAGCGUGGGGAGCGAACAGGAAUUAGAUACCCUGG